rnacentral:rRNA from 1 species
GAUGAACGCUGGCGGCGUGCCUAAUACAUGCAAGUCGAGCGAACAGACGAGGAGCUUGCUCCUCUGACGUUAGCGGCGGACGGGUGAGUAACGCGUGGAUAACCUACCUAUAAGACUGGGAUAACUUCGGGAAACCGGAGCUAAUACCGGAUAAUAUAUUGAACCGCAUGGUUCAAUAGUGAAAGACGGUUUUGCUGUCACUUAUAGAUGGAUCCGCGCCGCAUUAGCUAGUUGGUAAGGUAACGGCUUACCAAGGCAACGAUGCGUAGCCGACCUGAGAGGGUGAUCGGCCACACUGGAACUGAGACACGGUCCAGACGCCUACGGGAGGCAGCAGUAGGGAAUCUUCCGCAAUGGGCGAAAGCCUGACGGAGCAACGCAGCGUGAGUGAUGAAGGUCUUCGGAUCGUAAAACUCUGUGAUUAGGGAAGAACAAAUGUGUAAGUAACUAUGCACGUCGUGACGGUACCUAAUCAGAAAGCCACGGCUAACUACGUG